CUCUUUGGUUAUCUAGCUGUAUGAGAACGUACGAAAGCGUCAUAAAGCUAGACGACCGAAGUU
rnacentral:pre_miRNA from 1 species